UUUUUAGUAUAAAUAUGUCUCAUAUUAUAUUUGGGACAUAGUUACACUAAAA
rnacentral:pre_miRNA from 1 species